UACGUAGGGUGCAAGCGUUAAUCGGAAUUACUGGGCGUAAAGGGCUCGUAGGCGGCCAACUAAGUCGGAUGUGAAAUCCCCAGGCUUAACCUGGGAACUGCAUCCGAUACUGGAUGGCUAGAGUUCGGGAGAGGAGAGUGGAAUUCCCAGUGUAGAGGUGAAAUUCGUAGAUAUUGGGAAGAACACCGGUGGCGAAGGCGGCUCUCUGGACCGAGACUGACGCUGAGGCGCGACAGCAUGGGGAGCAAACAGG
rnacentral:rRNA from 1 species